ACCUUUGUGAGAUUAGAAAACUUGUACCUUCCUCUGGGCAGCCGCAGCCCUGAGCCAGGGCAUGUGGCCUGGCUAGUGCAGUGUGGACUGAAUUUUAGGCUCAUUUGCCCCCUCAGCCAACUGCCCUUGAGGAGUGUACAGCCUGCUCAACAACCGCCCUGGGCAGGCCGCUCCUGAGCUGCUGUCUCCCUCUCUGACCUAUGCCUACUUUCUCUUUCCUCGUUCCCUGCCCAAUGGGCAUGGCAGCUGGGGGUGAGAGGCUGGUGGAUGCCUCCUGUCCUGGGCAGGCUGCAGCCUCAUGCCAUGUCUCUCUCCCACUGCCCGAUGGGCACAUGGACAGGCUGCAGAGGGCUCCAGGUUCUGGGCCCCUGGCUGAGAAGGGGAGGACCCUGUCCUGGCUGUAGCCUUCCUGCCCCAAUCAUCUCGCUGGAUGCCGCUGCCCAGGGGUACCCUUUUCCUCAGUUUAAUUAAUUUAUUUAUUUGGUUUGUGGUUUGGGUUUUUUUUUUUUUUUUUUUUUGGUUUGUAGGUGAGUUCCCAUCCUCUGGGCCCCUAGAAAUACUGCCCUUGUAUAUGGGGUACCUGGGAAAGGGUGCGGCUGAGGCAGUCAUCACUCAGUAUCUUCCCCCGACUCCAGCCACAAAGCUCAUACCCAGCCCUGCCAAUCAUGAAUUGGAACUCCAUAAGGAGGAGCUAAAUUGGGAGGCCUUUUGGCAAACAGUGUCCAUUUUACAGAGAGGCAAACCGAUCCUCCUUAGUGCCGUGGGGCUGGUGGUCACCCAGAGCCACAGAGCACCCUUCCUCCUGGGCCAGAGCUGGGUGAUCAUGGUUGACUCAGGUACGUCAGGUGGCCCAGGAGGUCCCCCGUUCAUAAGGACAUCAAACUUCCAGGAGGGCUAGUGUUCCCAGUGUGGGCCAGGAACAGGACAGGGGGACCUUGCGAUGGCAGGACAGGGAGCCUGUUCGUAGGGAAGAUGAGGCAGGGGCUGCCUCUCACACCUCCAGGUUCUCAUUCUAAGUUCUGGGGAGGGAGCGCCCCACCUGCUGAGGUUGGUCCUCUCAGCCCUGCCUGCCCUGGCCUGGGCUCUCCCAGCCUCCCAGCCCUGUGCCCCCUCAGAUGGCUUUUUGUUUUUGUUUUUUUGCAUCCAUCAGAGACUGCUCCUCUGUGUGGCAGGCAGGGCAUGGGUUUUAGUCCUGGCCACUAACCAGCUGUGUGUCCCUGGCUGAGUCAUAGCCCCCUGGAGCCCCGGCUUCUACUUCUGCAAAAUGGUGGUUUGGGGAGAGAGGGGCAGGCUUUCUGUGUGACUGUCGGGAGUUCUUCCGUGAGGGCUGCCAUGGGGCGGUGUGCCAGGACCUGAGGCUGGGCCUUUGUGGAAGUCACCGUCCCACUAUGGGUCUCCACUACCCAGUCACUGACCAUGGGAGACCCCUUUUGUGGGAGGGAGCGGGGGCUGGCUAGCGGGCCCCCCAGCCAGGGAUCCCAGAGGCUGAGGGUUGGGGAGAGGAAGCCAUCAUCUCAUUACCUCUGUCAGUGCAGGGGUGGCUGCUGCUUCCCUUGUGCACUCGGGUCGCUGUGAUUGUGAAUAAAGGUGAUUUCGUACC
ensembl:lncRNA